UAGGACACAUGUACUCUG
rnacentral:piRNA from 1 species